rnacentral:rRNA from 1 species
GUUAAAAAGCUCGUAGUCGGAUUUCAGUAUUAGGCCCUUCUUCCAAUACGGUUGCUAGUGGUCUUUACUUCCUUAACAGAAUCUUUCAUCUCAUUAAUUUGGGGUGUUUGGGGCCUGUUUCUUUUACUUUGAGAAAAAUAGAGUGUUCAAAGCAGGCCUGAUGCCUUGAAUAAUGUAGCAUGGAAUAAUGAUAAAGGACUUUGGUUCUAUCUUGUUGGUGUUCGGAACCGAAGUAAUGAUUGAUAGGGACAGUUGGGGGCGUCUGUAUUCUGAAGCGAGAGGUGAAAUUCUUAGACCUUCGGAAGACAAACAGCUGCGAAAGCGUUCGCCAAGGAUGUUCCCUUUGAUCAAGAACGAAAGUUGGGGGAUCGAAGACGAUCAGAUACCGUCGUAGUCUCAACUAUAAACUAUACCAGCUAGGGAUCGGCCAACGUUGACUUCAAAAGACUUGGUCGGCACCUUAUGAGAAAUCAAAGCAUCUGGGUUCCGGGGGGAGUAUGGUCGCAAGGCUGAAACUUAAAGGAAUUGACGGAAGGGCACCACCAAGCGUGGAGACCUGUGGCUUAAUU